CCACUUUGCUUCUCAAGGACAGAAUGCAUCCUGUCUCGUUCUUGCUGCCCGGCAUGCCAGUGCUUCCUCCACGAAUUUGAAAGAUGUACUGGCUGAUAUGAUCCCUAAGGAGCAGGCCAGAAUUAAGACCUUCAGGCAGCAACAUGGCAAGACAGUGGUGGGCCAAAUCACUGUGGACAUGAUGUAUGGUGGUAUGAGAGGCAUGAAGGGAUUGAUAUACGAAACAUCCGUUCUGGAUCCUGAUGAGGUAAGACAUCUUGGCAAUCACUGUAA